UUGGUGCUAAUGAUUAUGGCGGUGAUGAGCAUCAACGUACCCUAAGAGAACUCAAUAUUUUAUGAAAAUGGCUUCUUCAUCGUUUGAAGGAAUAGCUACACGCUGGACGUUUUUAUUUUUGAUGUCGAGUACAAUCGUUUACGAAGAAUACGCAACAAUCUUUUUCAAUCAACUUGGCCUUCAAGCAUCAUCGAUUGGCGUGUCGUUGCUUGUCGCUAUCCCCGUUUUGCCAAUGGAAUUGCCGACAUGAUAUUUGCGAUCGGAAACGAAGCUGGUGCUGGCCUCAAUGGAGUAUUCUUUGGUGUUUUUGGUUCAAGAAAAACUUUAAUGUCUUACGCUCUUGUGUCUGUUCUAAUGUUAAUAACUAAUUCUGUGUAUCUGUUUUGUAGAAAAGAUCAGCUUGAACAGUAUGAGCUUCUUCCAAAUAAUGAAAGUGACGUCAGUGAUUGAAAGCGCGAAGAAUAUUUUCAAUAAAGUUACUAUCUUAAA